GAAACGCGAGGAAGGUGACAAUAGGCGCGCCGAGCAUCUCCAGGAUCUUGUGCGUAUCAUGCAUAUGCUUUCUAAUGACGCUAUCUGGAGUGCAAAAGGUACGAACACUCAUCUCCUUGGCGAUCGCCUUCCAAUUACGCAAGGUGGCAUUGAGAGCUACCACAUUCUGUGCACAUUCGCCAUGAAAUUUGAACGUACGUAGGUUAUAGAUGACGAGGUCACGCUGGGUGAGCUGGUCGAAUUGAAACUGCACGACCUGCGGACGAUUCUUUGACGCCCAGAAAUUGGUGACUUUGGUAACCGAUUCCACCGAUAUGCGACCCUCCUUGUGUUGGUCGAGAAGGAACUUGUUGGCCGUCACACAUAUCAUAAGCUCUACCUCAGAGUACAAUUUUGCCUGGGUUGGAGGGUCCAAGGAAAUGGGGAAGGUUGAUUGAAACCGUUCUUUGGAUUUCUUCACGUCUCCUGUCUGUAAACCGAAUAGUUAGAUUGAAAAACGGUCUCUCGCAGUGCGUCAGGAAAUCUCCAUGGAUCGAAAAUGUUUAUGGACUUACUAUAUCCUCAACGCGCUGUUUGAUCUUCUCACCCAGCGCCUUGAAACCAGGCCUUUUGUUCUUCUCAGAGGGACUUUCCUUCAAGGAAGGACUGCGACCUAGCCAACCAUUUUCGCCGAACAGCUUUUUAUGCGGU
rnacentral:sRNA from 1 species